CAGGCUGCUCAAAGCUUCACAUCGCCAUGUUUCCCUGGGUUGCAUAUGGUCAUUUCAUUCCCUACCUUCAUCUCUCAAAUAAGUUGGCUCAUAAAGGCCAUAAAAUUUCCUUCUUUCUGCCCAAAGGAGUUCAACCAAAGCUUGAAAACCUGAACCAAUACCCCAACUUGAUUCGGUUCUUUCCUCUACAUAUACCCCAUGUCGAUGGCCUCCCUCCAGGUGCUGAAACUACAUCUGUUGUUCCUAUGAACCAACAAAAAUACCUUGCUUUUGCCGUAGAUCAAACCAGGGACCAAGUUGAAGGAAUCUUAAAGGUUAUAAAACCUGAUAUGGUUUUUUAUGAUUUCUGGUUUUGGAUCCCAGACUUGGCUCGCCAGCUUGGGAUCCUCCCCAUAUUCUAUGUAGUGGUUUCCUCGAUGAUCAUGUCGAUUGGGCCAAGCACCAAGACUCUAACCAAAGAAAUGACUGUAGAAGAGGUGACGAAAUUGCCUCCUGAUUACCCUUCUUCCAUUGUGAAAUUCAAAGCUGAAGAGGCUGCUGUAUUGUUGUUUGGGGCUGAGGAUUUCGGGAGUGAACUGUCGUUUGGGGAACGGAUAAGGACUGCUGUGAGUGGAAGUGAUGCUAUUGCCUUCAGGACUUGCCGUGAAACCGAGGGACCAUUUUGCGACUAUGUUGCUCGAGGAUAUGGGAAGCCUGUUUUGUUAUCAGGGCCUUGCUUCCCUGAAACAAAGACCCAACAGCUUGAUGAGAAAUGGGUUAGUUGGUUAAGCCAGUUCGAGCCAGGUUCUGUUGUGUUUUGCUCAUUUGGAAGCCAGAGUGUGUUACAGAAGGACGAGUUCCAGGAGUUGGUGCUUGGGUUUGAGCUAUGUGGGCUACCAUUUUUGGUAGCUUUAAAGCCACCCCAAGGAUUCCCGACUGUUGAAGAAGCUCUGCCGGAGGGGUUUCAAGAUAGGGUUGGAGGAAGAGGGUUGGUGUAUGGAGGUUGGGUUCCACAAGAGCAGCUAUUGCACCACCCUAACAUCGGCUGUUUCGUUAACCACUGUGGGUAUGGAACGAUGUGGGAGUUUUUGCUUAGUGACUGCCAAAUCGUGUUGAUUCCUGAAAUUGGGGAUCAAAUUUUGAACACCAGAUUAAUGGUGGAAGAACUCAAGAUUGGAGUUGAAGUGGAGAGAGGUAAAAACAGGGAGGUUUCAAAGGAGUCAUUGAGUGAAGCCAUCAAGUUUGUGAUGGACAAGGACAAUGAAACAGCUAAUAUGAUGAAGAGAAACCAUGCUAAGCUGAAGCAAAUACUAUCUAACAGGGAUCUUCAAGAAGGAUAUAUCAACAAUUUCAUCCAAGCUCUGCAAGAUCUUGUCAAAUAGAGUGGCAAAAUCCAAGCAAUUGGUUAGAAAAUGAAACUGAAUCAUAGGUAUGAUUAUUGUUUUAUCACAUUCUUAUUUUCUAAUUGUCCAUGCUUUUAUUAAUUUCAAAUAAAGCAAUGUUUAUUAAAUUACAAUUUUAAUAUAUAAAUAAAAAUUCAAAUAAACUUUAAUUGAAAGUUCCAAUNNNNNNNNNNNNNNNNNNNNNNNNNNNNNNNNNNNNNNNNNNNNNNNNNNNNNNNNNNNNNNNNNNNNNNNNNNNNNNNNNNNNNNNNNNNNNNNNNNNNNNNNNNNNNNNNNNNNNNNNNNNNNNNNNUUAUUAAAUUACAAUUUAAAUAUAUAAAUAAAAAUUCAAAUAAAAUUUAAUUAAAAAUUACAUUGAAUUGAAAUGAAAUUCAAAUAAAAUAUCAAUUUAAAGCAAUAUUUAUUAAAUUAUAAUUUAAAUAUAUAAAUAAAAAUUUAAUUCAACAAUUACAUGACAAAUGAAGUUAUAAUUAAAAAAGAAAAAAAAAGUGAAAUGAAAUUGAAAUCAAAUUCAAAUGAAAAAAAAAUUCGAAAUGCCAAUACAUGACAGGCCCACACUUGUGACAGCCUUGUCAAAACAGGCCACCCAAUGGUUGGCACCAGCGGCCCAAUGUGCCAGAUCAGCCUGUCAAUGGCCGAUUUCAAAAAAAUUAAAUUUUGUCAGGCCUAUGAGGCCUAAUCUGUGUCAAAUCGGCCACUCAAUGGCCGGCAUCAGUAGACUAGACCUGCUCUGACAUGUCCCGGGGCAGGGGCCAAAAUUUUCUUUUCUUUUUUCCCCUUUUUACCCCUACUCAACCACUAUGGUCCCCCACUUUAAAUGUCAUGCUUCAACCUAAAAUUCGAGCACCAUCGCCCAUAACUAUCGUUCACCAUCGAUCACCACCGCUGAUCAUAGUCGUUCAUGGUUGAUCACUGUCAUCGAUCAACAUCUAUUACUGCUGAUCAAGGCUAAUCACCGAUCACCGCCGUCGAUCACUGUUGAUCACCACUGAUCACUCCAUGGGUCUUAAUCCUAAUUCUCUUUUAAAUGACGACAACCGCAUUGCUAAAAAUAUGAAUAAGGUAAAUUUUAUACCAAAUGACCCAUUUACUUUGAAUAACUAUGAUAACUUGUUUUUAAACGAGAAAUAUAACAUUUUAUAUUUAUUAUAAAUGCAGGAUUAGUACCGAAUUGUGAGACCCCGAUUACAUGAUCCUGAAUAUUUUUUCGAUCUGAGGGUUUUGCCAUAUUUGAACGCUGUGAGUUUUAGGGUAGCCAUGUACAUUCAGAUAGCCGAUCUACAGGCCAAUUUAAUAUUGGCCUUAGUUGAAAUAUGACGCCCAAAGGCACACAUGUUUCACCUCUCAUGUGGGGAGGUCACCAUUACACUGCAAGACGUAGCAGUCUAGCUGGGGAUGUCUAUUAACAACGAAGUAGUGACAGGGCCUAGAAAAUUGCUCGUUCCGUGGGGCACUUGCGAAUGGUUACUUAGAAGAAUGCCCCCAAUGAUGAGGAAUGAAGAUUGGCCAGUCUUAAAUUUACCUGGUAAGAACAAACUUCCAAAAUCUACCUAGCAGUCUAACGCAAAUGGACAUUAUCUACGCUGCAAGAGCGUUUAUUCUGCAACUUAUAGGUGGAGUACUGAUGUCGGACGUGAGUCAAAAUAAAGUCCACAUCAUGUACCUCCUCUUACUAGAGGACCUUGAGCAAGCCGAGAUAUUUAGUUGGGGCUCUGCAGUAUUGGCAUGCUUAUACAGCAAGCUUUGUCGAGCAACAAAACCGUCUACCAAAACUAUGGGUGUAACACUCCUAACCCGUAUCUGUUGUCGGAAUAGGGUUACAGAGCAUUACCGAAGUUUUCAAAUCUUACGAACACAUAUUUAUAAACAUUUCAUAUCAUAUCAUUGAACAUAUUAAAUCUAAACCAAAUCAUUCAUAUUGUCCCUUACACGAGCCUUCGAGGCCUUAAAUACAUAUUAGAAACAAGUUGGGACUAAAUCAGAAACUUAGAGAAUUUUUCAAAAAAAAUUAAAAAUUUUCAACACUGCAGGGGUCACACGGCCAAGAGACACGACCAUGUCUUAGGCCGUAUGGACAUUCGAAGUAUGGACACACGAUCAUGUUCUAGCUUGUGUCCAUACUCGUGUAACUCACUAACUUGGGUCACACGGCCAAGCCACCAGGCCGUGUACCCUUCGAAAUAACCUCACACGCCCGUAUGUCAGGCCGUGUGCUAGGCCGUGUAACAACUUGACUUGCAACCCUUUGAAAGCUACAGGGUACACACGGUCGUGUCACCUAACCGUGUGUCACACACGGCAGUGACACGCUCAUGUGUGGACGAAAAUAGGCCAUUUUACAAGCCAUUUUUGUAAUGACCCAAAAUUCAAGGUCAUAAAAAAAAUAUGAUAUCGAGCCUCCGUCUUAGUAAAUUGAGUCAUAAAUAAUUAUUAGAAGCAAUUAUGAGUUUAGUGGAGUGCUUAAUUAGGUAUUAAUUAGGUGAAUUUAGCCUAAUUUAAAGUAAUAAGGAAAAAGGAUCAAGUUGAAUAAAGAAUGAAAGCCUAAUUAUAGAUUAAAAGAAAGUAAAAAGGGCUAAAAUGGCAAUUAAGCCAUUUAUAUGAAAUGAGGCGGCAUAUAUGCAUUAAAAUCUAAGAUUUUAUUUAAGUUAUACAUAAAUAUUAUAUAUAUUAUUAUUAUAAUUAUUAACCAUUAUUAUUAUUAUUAUUAUUAUUAUUAUUAUUAUUAUUAAAUAAAGUAAAUAGUAGACAAUUGUAUGGUAAUAAAAUAUACAUGUGUAAAAAUUAUAUUUGUACAUUUGUAAACUAAACACUCAAAUUACUUAUAAUUUAAGUAUGAAGAUAUUUUAUAAUUAUUAAUUGAAUUAAUUAUAUUAUAAUAUUUUUAUAUAAUAAAUAAAUUAAAGACAUGACAAGUGUAUGAUGAUGAUAAGGUACAAAUGUAAUAAUAUUUAUGUGUACAAUCGUAAUAAAUGUAAAUGAUAUUAAAAUAGAUAUUUACUAAUUAUUAUUUUUAAGUUAAAGAUAUUUAUUAAAUUAAAUAAUUAAACUAUGAGACUUUUAUUUGAUAAACAAAUUAAAUAUGACAAUUGUAAUUAAAUCAUUGGUACAAAUGUAGAAAUAUAGGUGUGACCAAAUGUAAAAUAAGUAUUGUUAUUAAAAUAGAUAUUUAUUAUAAUCAUUAUAUUAUGUUAAUAAAAUAAAUAAAAUAUAAAAAGAAACAAAAACAAAGAAUAGAAACAGAAUUGAGACGAGAAGCAGGGGAGAAAAAGUGAAAGAAAAAGGGUAAGAAAAAUAAAAGAGAAAAUUAGGGAUUUGAAGCUUGAAACUUUAAUUGGUAAGUUUAAUCAAGUGCUUUUCUUAUAAAUUUGAUGUUCUUGGAAUCCAAGAGGUGAAAUACUCUUGGAUUUAAGUUGAAAUUUUGAAAGUUAAUAGAUUUUUUAGUAGGGUUUAUGUUGAUAGAAAUUUUGAUUGGAAUUGAAUAAAGGAUUGAAUUGUAAACUAAGCCAUAAGUUUUGAGUUUUAGGGAUUAAAUUGAAAUAAAUUCGAAAUUGGGAAAAUAUGCUCAAAUUUUAAUAGUUAAAUUUUAGUUUGGAUGAAAUUUGAAUAAAAAUAGAGUGUGAAUUGAAUUAGGAAAGUAAGUGAACUUAGUUAGGAUCAAAUUGAGAAUAAUGAAGAAAUUUAAUAGAAAUUCAAUUAUUUACCAUAAUUAGUGUUGUAAUUAAUAGUGUAAAUUAUUAUUAUUUUCGUAGCUAGCAAAGAACCAGAAGCAUCGGUACAGAAGGGAAAAGAGAAGAUUAUCGAGGAGUAAACCCGAGAAAAUCAUGGUUUGUAUUACUAUAAUUCAAAUCACUUUUUAUUAAAUGUUUUAUAUAAAUUUUAUAUUUAAUAAAUGAGUAUAAGGUAAGUGUUAAUAUUUGAGUUGAAUGGGAAUUGAUUGGAAGGUGAAUGUGUAUGUAUAAUUGAAUUGUAUAUUGAUUUGAAUGUGAAAUUGAAUAUUGACUUGAAAAAAAAAUGGAAAGGUGAAUUUUGAAUUGAGUUGUGAUUAAAAGUGAAAAAGUGGAAUUGAAUUGAAAUGUGAAUUUGGAGACCCUAUUAACUAGUCGGGCUGAGUCGGACAUAGUUGGCAUGCUAUAGGAUUGGAAGAGUUCAGGGAUACUUCGACCUCGAGUCGAUGAGCCACUGGGUGUUAUUAUAUUUCUUUGGAUAGAUUCGAUGAGGUACUGGGUACCAACUUUCUUCGGCUUUGCCGAUGAGACACUGGGUGUUAACUAUUGCUUCGAACUAUCCGAAUGAGGCACUGGGUACUAUGCCCAUACUGGAGUGUUUGGUUGGAUCCGUGUAUCCGCCAAAGUCCGAGUUUUGUUAAUAGGGUAAAUAAUGAAAUGAUAAACUGAAUAAGUUGAUCAAUCGAGCUAUUGAAAUGAAAUGAAAAGUUGAAUGGUGAAUUGAAAUGUGAUAUGAGAUUGAGAAAUGAAUCUGAGGUUCAAAAUGUGUCCAAUUUCCAAAUUGUGGAUAUAUGAUAUUAAUUGAUGAAUUAUUAAUGUUGAAACAUGAAAUUUGAGUUUAAAUUUGUAUGUAUGAUUUUAUACAUUACAUGCUUAUUAAUAUUAUAAUUUGAAUUAUGGUAAUACCACUGAGUAUGAAAUACUCAGCGUACGGUUAUUUCCGUGAGCAGGUCAUUAGAGUUUAAGGUCCAGUUUAGCAUCCAGAAAGAUCCCAACUCCAUCAAGAAAACUUUGGUGAUGUAUUUCUUCCUUUUAUUUAAGUGGCAUGUACUAGGUGAUUGUACACGAGUCAUAUAUAUAUAAAUAUAUAUGCUAAAUGAUCUUGGUUGUAAGUAAAUGGUUAUAAUCUUUAGAAUGAUAAAUAAAGUAGCGUUUUAAAGUAUAAAAUUAUUGAUUGAAAUAUUGGUGUUGGGUUUUUUUUGUUUUAAGUUUUCAGGGGGUUUUAUGUAAAAAUAAGCAGAAAUGCUGUCGAAAUUUUUAAAAAAAUGAAGCCAAUUAGCAUAAAUUUAUAUGAAUUUAUGAUUCUUUUAUAUAUAUUCGUGAUAUAUUAAGAAUAAUUUGUGAAUUGUCCGAGAUGUCUGAUAAUGCCUCGUAAUCCUGUUCCGGCGACGGUUUAGGGUUAGGAAAUGUUACAAUUUUUCUCACCCAUCAAGGCAUAUACCUACAACAAAAAAUGCAAAUAUACACAAACCAUAACAAGACACCAAAAUCAUGCAUAUUCUAGCGUCAUACUCAUUUAGCUUCGUACAUAUGCAAAUUUGUAAAAAAAGUACAAAAACUCGUAGCUAUAAUUUACGAAAUAACUUCGUAAACAUGUACGAGUUAGGACUGAAUUUUUUUUUCCUUUUAAAGAAAUCAGAACUGAAUUAUUAUUUAAUAAUAAUCUUUUAAAAAAGAUGAUUAUAAUAUAUCUAUUGGGUAAGUAGAAAACAAGAAUAUUUGAUUAUUCGUUGAUUAGAAGUUAUACAUACUCCGUUUAAUAAUUACAAUAGGAAAAACAGAGUUGGCAUGCGUAAUUGCCUUCGUGUCAGCGUCUCUAAUUUCUUAGAGGUAAUGAUUACAAAAUAUAAUAAAAUAUUUUCAGUAUGGACAAACAUGAUGAAGAAAAAAAAGGCGUUUGUUGUGCAAUUGUUAAUGGUAGGCGUUAUAAUUAGAUCGGUUUUUUGUCUCUCAGAUCACAUUGUGCAAGCAAAAAAAGAAAGAUGAGCAAAUCAGGCCACUCAAAGCUUCACAUCGCCAUGUUUCCAUGGGUUGCCUAUGGUCAUUUCAUCCCCUUCCUUCAUCUUUCUAAUAAGCUGGCUCAUAAAGGCCACCAAAUUUCCUUCUUUCUGCCCAAAGGAGUUCAACCAAAGCUUGAAAACCUGAACCAAUACCCCAACUUGAUUCGGUUCUUUCCUCUACAUAUACCCCAUGUCGAUGGCCUCCCUCCAGGUGCUGAAACUACAUCUGUUGUUCCUAUGAACCAACAAAAAUACCUUGCUUUUGCCGUAGAUCAAACCAGGGACCAAGUUGAAGGAAUCUUAAAGGUUAUAAAACCUGAUAUGGUUUUUUAUGAUUUCUGGUUUUGGAUCCCAGACUUGGCUCGCCAGCUUGGGAUCCUCCCCAUAUUCUAUGUAGUGGUUUCCUCAAUGUCGAUGGGGUUAAACACCAAGGUACUAACCAAAGAAAUGACUGUAGAAGAGGUGAUGGAAUUGCCUCCUGGUUACCCCCUUUCCACAGUGAAACUCAAACCUGAAGAGGCUGCUGUAAUGUUGUUUGAGGCUGAGGAUUUCGGAAGUGGACUGUCGUUUCGGGAACGGAUAAGGACUGCUGUGAAAGGAAGUGAUGCCAUUGCCUUCAGGACUUGCAGUGAAAUCGAGGAACCAUUUUGUGACUUUGUCGCUGAAGGAUUUGGGAAGCCUGUUUUGUUGUCAGGGCCUUGUUUGCCUGAAACGAAUACCCAACAGCUUGAUGAGGAAUGGGUUAGUUGGUUGAGCCAGUUCGAGCCAGGGUCUGUUGUGUUUUGCUCAUUUGGAAGCCAGAGUGUGUUGCAGAAGGAUGAGUUCCAGGAGUUGGUGCUUGGGUUUGAGCUAUGUGGGCUACCAUUUUUGGUAGCUUUAAAGCCACCCCAAGGAUUCUCGACUGUUGAAGAAGCACUGCCGGAGGGGUUUCAAGAUAGGGUUGGAGGAAGAGGGUUGGUGUAUGGAGGUUGGGUUCCACAAGAGCAGCUAUUGCACCACCCUAACAUCGGCUGUUUCGUUAACCACUGUGGGUAUGGAACGAUGUGGGAGUUUUUGCUUAGUGACUGCCAAAUCGUGUUAAUACCUGAAAUAGGGGAUCAAAUUUUGAACACCAGGUUGAUGGCGAAUGAACUCAAGAUUGGGGUGGAAGUGGAGAGAGGUAAAAACAGGGAGGUUCCAAAGGAGUCAUUGAGUGAAGCCAUCAAGUUUGUGAUGGACAAGGACAAUGAAACAGCUAAUAUGAUGAAGAGAAACCAUGCUAAGCUGAAGCAAAUACUAUCUAAUAGGGAUCUUCAAGAAGGAUAUAUCAACAAUUUCAUCAAAGCUCUACAAGAUCUUGUCAAAUAGAGAGUCCAAGUUGCAAAACAAGAAGAAUAUAUCCAUUUCAUUAUUUGGAAUGAAUUGAAGAGUAGUCCUUGCAGAUUAGCUCUCAAAAGGAUUUGGUCAAGGUUCUUUCACCAUGUUAAACGGCAUCUAAUGAUGCUGCUCAUUUUCUAGCCAAAAAUGGACUGAAUAGUAAUACUGCCACUAUGUGGGUGGAAGAUUACCCACCCAUUCUUCAUCUUUAUGUCAUCACUGGUGCUAUGAAAAUGUUCAAUUUCAACAACAAUAGCAAAAAAGUCAUCCAAUAGGGUAAUGUAAUUUGGAAUGAAUGUUGUUCCUAAUCUACACUUAAAAAUGUCAUCAUUUAUUUAUCUUUCUUUUUUGCGUUAGGGGUUAAAUAAGUUCAAUUCAGUCUCAAUUAACCUCUCAAACAAUAAAAGCAUAUCAAAUGGUUUCCGCUGUUGAUAGUUAAUGUGUUGAUGUGGCUAUUCAUGACAGCUGAAUAGACUAUUAUGAUGCUAACAUGACAAGUCCACAUCAACAAAAAUAAUUUUUUUUAAAAUACAAUAUUUAAAAAUAUAAAUUCAAAAUGAAUGGAAGUCUCGUAUUUAUUUGUUAGAUUAAUUCUGAAUGUAGUUUUUUUAAAUUAUAAAAAAGUUUAAAAAAUAAAAACAUUAUAAAAAUUGUAAAAAUGAGAAAUAAAAUUUUAAAAAAUAAAAAUAAUUUAAAAAAUUAAAUUCAAAAUAUAUCUAGACAAACGGACAUCCACUUUCAAUUGAAUUUUGACAGCAGUUUGUUCAUAUUUAUUCUAGAUAUUUUUUUUUAAUUUUUGAAAAAUUAAAAUUAUGAGAUAAAUAUCAAAUCUAUACAUGAACUUUGCUCUAAUGUGUAAUCUGAUAGAUGAACUUUAAUUUAGUAUAAUCAUACACAUAAAAACUUGAAUUGUGGUUCAUAUAUGUACAUGAAACUUUGAUUUUGAUUCAGAUGUACAUUUAAAAAAAAGGAAUACAUACAUUUAUUUUUGUAUUGGAUUAAUAUAAUGGUUUGUGUAUGCAAUAUGUAAUACCCAAAUUUUUACCCUGCCUACAAUAAAACAAAGUCCAUUAUUUUUAAGCCCAAUUACAAGACAAAUUACAUGGCCCAAUUUCAAUUGGUGGCCCAGUUACAAACAUAGCCCGAAACAGAUGAAGAAACCCUAGGGUUUCUGAGUAAAGCUCCAGCCGCCGCAACCCCAAUCUUGGCCGAAUCUCCAUGGAUUCACCUGCAUAGCAAGAAAAACGAAAAUGGAAAGGGAAUCAACAAUAUUUGUAAAUCAAAUCAAGAACUGAUUUCUUUCCUUUUUAGAUUUAUUUCAUAUGGCUAUAAAAAAGCCAUAAACACACUGUAAAGAGGAUCCGAUUUCGAAAUAAAAAUAAAAAUAAAAACUACAACUUUCACAAUAUCAAGAGCAAAAAAUCGAAGUAAAGGUUGAUACUAGCAUUUCUAUUUUAUUUUUAUUAUAUUUAUUUAUUGUUAUUAUUUAUAUAAAUACAAAAAGGAAGGAAAAACCUGUUUACCAGCCUUAAUCGCCGCGGAUGGCCGAGGAAGUCGUCAUUGAGGAUUGACGACCGGAAGCCGAAAAGUUUCUAUACUUUUAGGGGCCUUUUUGUUAAUUUUUCAUGGGAUUUGAGCCUGGAUCUAGGCUCAGGGGUCAAGAAGGUUGAAAAGGAAAUUUUUUUUACUUUUUCCGGCCACCGUGGACGGUGGUGACGACGCCGGAGAUCGGCGGCCGGCGCGGUGGCUGAUGACCGGCCGAUGACCGUCUGAUGAUCGGCCCAUGGCCGGAGGACAGAAAGGUUGAGAGAGUUUUUUAAAAGGUUUUUUUGUUUUUUUUUUAAAAUGUUUUGAAAUGAAAUUUUUGUUUUAUUUUUGGCUUAAAUAGCCAUUUGAAAACGGCGCCGUUUUGAGGGGAGGAUCCGCGCAUCGACCCGACCCGGACCCAGGAUCCGCGCGUUUUUAUGUGGAGGAGAAAAUUUCGUUUUUAGUCCUCCACCUUUUUAACGUUUUACAAUUAGGUUUGUUUAAUUUUUUAAAAUUAGCCCUUUAAUUCGUUUUCGAUUUCAAUUUAACUCUGCUUGAACGACGCUGUUUUGAGGAGAAGGAUAAAUUGCCCUUCCAGCCCCUCUGAGUUAUCAGCGUGUUCAAUAGGAUCUUUCAAUUUCCAUUUAUUUACAGAUUUGUUUCAGAAUUUUUAUUUACAGUUCAAAUUAGCCCUUGUUUUCUUUCAUUUUCUAUAUUUUCUAAAUAGUUUUUUUUUAUAUUCUUUUUCAUAUUAAUUUGUUUUAAUAUAUGUAAUGUAUUUUUACAUACGCACAUUUAUUUUUGCAGAAUAGUAUAAUUAUUUUUAUCUUAUUUUUUAUUUAUACGUAAUUAUUUCUUAUAACCUAUAUAUAUAUAUAUAUAUAUAUUGGUGCAUAUAUGUAUGUAUACAUUAAUAUUUUUAACUAAUAUAUAUAUAUGAAUAUAUAUUUAUAUUUUUUUUAAAAUGCAAAUAUAUGUUUUUUUAUACACUUUAUAGUUUUUUUUUUUUUUUUUUACUUUCACAAAUGCAUCACAUAUGUAUAAGUUUCAUAGCCCAAAAUUUAUUUAUUUUUAAUUUCCAUGUGUAUAUUAUAUGUCUUCUGAUUUUUUUAUUUAUUUUGCUUUCCUCGUUCGUGGUAUAAUUGUGUUUACAUUUAAUAUUUUGCAUGAUAUGGAUUAUUGCUUUUUAUCUCGUUUAUUUAUUUGUUUAUAUUAUUCUUACGCGAUUAAUGUAUUUAUUAUUGUUAUUAUUAUAGCAUUUGUAUGUAUACAAUAAUGUUGCAUCAAUUUUUUUACUCAAAUUUAAAAAUAGAAUUUUCUUUUUAAAAUUGAGAUAAUGUUCGUAUUUAGGAUUUACAAGGAAAUUGAGCCCUAACGUAUUGGGUAUUUUCUUCGUUAAAUCUAACGAUCGAGCAUUUCUUUUUAAUCAAAAAAAUAAGAACUCAUUAUUGGGAAUUCAACACGUUGUGUCCUAAUGUAUUGGACGUGACACAUUGAUUUCUCGAAAUGAGGAUUUUUCUUUAAAAAAAAAAUAAUAAAGGAAAUAUUCCGAGUUUGGGAUUUUAAAGAAAUCGUGCCCUAACGUAUUGGGUGUGAUUUUUUAAAUCUUGGAUAAGUGGAUGUUCUUUUAAUGUUUUUAUCGCACUAGUAUUUUGGCCCAAUUCAUUUUGGAGGAAAUUAGAAUGUUGUGCCCUAACGCAUUGGGUGUGACAUUUUUGCUUCUCUAAAUUGAGAAGGGUCUUAAUACGUAACGGUUUUAAGUUUUCUUACUAAGGAUUAUAUAUUUUCAAACCUUCGACUUCAAGACAUUAAUUAAUCGAUUUGGUACCAAUUUUGGGCGUUACGAGGGUGCUAAUCCUUCCUCGUACGUAACUGACUCCCGAACCCAUUUUUUUUAAACUCGUAGACCAAAGCCGUUUUUUUUUGUGAUCCAAUCACACCUUAAUAAAAGAUUGGUGGCGACUCUCAAUUUUCAUUUUUUUUAAAAGUCGACAACUUAAAUCCUAAAAUUUUUUGUUUUUCAAAAAAACGGUUUCGGCACAAUAUAUAAACAUAAAAUUGUACUAAUUCGAUAAUGUUGUUAGUGAUUUAAGAAAUUGAAUCGAAUAGAAAUAUCUUGUAUAAAAUCGCAUAAAGUCAAUAUUCAUGCAUUGCAUUACAUAUUAAAUUCAUGUAUAAUUUUAAUAUUUAUUCCCGUUGAUUUUUACUUUUCUCACGAGAGAUAAAUAUAAUUUUUAAUAAGAUUUUGAAGUUCUUCUUGUUGGUUUUAUUAUUAUUUAAUUUGUUUAUUGUAAUUUUAGUGUUUGCUAUACUUUCAAGGUCAUUUUAUUUAUCUGCUGUUAAUUUUAAUACAAGAUAUAAGAAUGCAAUUUCAAGCAACACAUAUUAUUAUGAUUAAACAUGUGCGUAAUGUUUUUUUUUUUUUCAAUGAGAUAUAAGAAAAAAAAAAUUUGUGUAGCACAUACGUAUAAAAUUUUUUGAAUGUUGAUUUAUCAUUUAUAUAAAUUUGUGUAGUAGAUAUAUAUAAAUGGUUUCUAAUUUUCAUUUAUCAUUUUUAUAUAAUUUUUAAAAAUUAUAUACCAUAUGUUGGCAUAAUUUAGCUAGAACAUGGCACUUUCGAUAGCAAUAAUGUAAGCUCAAAUAUUCAUACACAGAACAAACACAGCACAUAUCAACUUAUAACACAACACAACACAACACAUAUCAACUUUGAUCCAAUUCUUAAUCUAUAAAAUUAUUUCAUAAAAUCAAUAAAUAUUAAACCUUCUCAUUUUAUACCAUGAAAUGAAUGAAUCUAUAUUCUAUACAAGCUCAUUUUUUGAUACCCCUAAAAUUUUACAUUUUAUUCAAUUUAGUCUUUGAAUUCGAAAUAGUCAUAACUUCAAAAUUUGAGCCUCAAUUUAAAAUUUUGAUUUCACAUAUAUUCAUUAGGGACCCUCCACUUCCUACUCAUAUCGAAAUUUCAUAACAAUUUUACAAUCUAGUCCCUUUUCAUAAUCUAAGCUUAAAAUCUAUUAAAUUCAAACCUAAUUCUUCAAGAAAUCAACAAAUGCAACUUUUUGAAACUUUAAAAAAUUUACAAAUUGGUACAGAGUUAGCUAAAUUAAACUCCCACGACCUCAAAUACAUAAAAAUUUCAAGAAAAAGUCUUAAAUCCUUGGCCGAAAGCUUGGAUGCUUGGAAGGGUUUUUCUCUUUUGUGGAUCUAUGGUGGACGGUCAUUUGAAAAAAGAAGAUAGUGGAAUUUUCCAUUAUCUCAACCUUAUAUACUUUUAAUUAACUAAAGAUAGUCUAACUAAUUACUUUAACUUAGUUUUAUUAACUUAAAAAUUACUUAUUAUUAAUUCUUAAUGGGAUAUGGCAUCAACAUCCACUAACUCAUGUUUAUUCAUGGGCUAAUUGCUAUUUUAGGCCUUUGGUUAAUUGCUAUUUAGGUCCUCAAGCUUUUUGUCAAUUAAGAUUUCUUAGCGAUUGAACUUUUACAAUUUAGUUCUUGUGUUUUAACUAACUAUUAAUUCGGAAAAAUUACUGGACCAAACUUUAAUAUAUUCUUGUAUCAUCUCCGUAAAUAUUUAUAUUUAAUAUUUAUAGACUCGAUUUACGAAAAUAAGGUUUCAGAAUCGCCUUUUCCAAAAUCACUGAAAAUCGGGUUGUUACAUAACUUAUUUAUAAAAAAAAUAACUUUCUAAAGUUAUGUCAAAAAAUUAUAUUAUUUAUAAGAAAUGUUAUAAAAGUUUUGGACAAUUUAUAAAACUUUUUUAUACAUAUUAUAUAUUAUUUUUUACUUAAUUUACGUAUUAUAAAAAGAUAUAUAACUUAGCAUAAGUCUUUCUCCAAAUUAAGUUUAUAUAUGUUCUUAUAAUUAAAGCUAUAGACUAUUUGGACCGUGAUCUCAAAGAUUAUAAGAUCGAUGCUAAUUAUGCAAAUAGAAAAUGUUUUCUUGCACCAUAUCGUGAGGUAUGAUACUAUUUGAGAGAAUGGUGCUAAACACAAGUACCUUAGACAACUCUCAAACUCUUUAAUUUGAGACAUUCAAAGCUUCGAAAUAUGGUUGAGAAGACAUUUAUUGUUCUCAAAAAUAAUUUUCUCAUAUUAACAACAUCACAUUAGUAUAGCAUAAAAAAAACAAUAUCGGAUCAUACUAACAGGUUGCAUAUUUCAUAACUUUAAUCAUAAGUGGAAUUGAGAUGAUCCAUAAUUCGAUGAGUACAUGGAGAAAAGAGAUCUUGAUAAUCUUAAUUAUGCAGAUUUAGAUUCUGAUUCAAAUGAUGAUGAACUUAGUCAAGGACCAACAAAAUAAAAAACAUAUGUUAAAUAUUAAAUAGGGAAUAGCCCAACAAAUACGCACUAGAACAAUUAGACAGAAUUGCAUAUGAUGUUUAUUUUUCUUGCUAUUUUUGUUAGUAAUCGUAUUAUUAACUAUUUUUUUAGACUAACAUAAUUCAUAUGGUGGUUUGAUUUUAAUUUUUGUUAUUUGAGUAGAAAUUAUUUUUAUGAUAGUAAUAAAUUUUUUAAAAAUAUAAAUUAUGUAACAGUGUAAUUACAAUUUGUACUACCAAAUAUGACAUAAGGAAUUAUAAUAUAAUUACACUUUGUCAAUUAAACACGUCUAAAGUACAAAAAAAUCUAAUUACUAUCCUAAUAAUUACAUUUUCAUUCCCUUAAAAUUAUGGAAACAAGGUUAAUUCAUGGACUAUAUUGAUAUAUGUGUGUGAAGACAAAAAAGGAGCAGCUUGAUGUUGGAACAAGUGGAAAAUGAAAGGAAAAAGCAAUAGAGUAAAAGAAAGCGUGAUAUUCAAGUGCUGGAGUUGUAAGUACUCUUUGAAUUUUAUUUACCUAGAGUAUGUGUGCUUUUGUUAAAUUGAGGAACUAAAUUUUAAUUAAUGGAAUUGGCUAAUUAUAGUUAUGGAAAAUUUUGACAUUAAAAAUUAAGGGUUAAUGUAACAUUUUAAAACUCCCUUAAUCGUAAAUAAUAUGAAUUUUCGAAAGAAAUAGAAAUAGAAAUUAUCAGUAGAAAAAGCAGAUGGAUCCCAAAGUCACUUCAAUCGAAGAAUUAUAUUAUGAUGUAUUAGUUUAAAGUAGGGACUACAUCACAAAAAUGUGAAAAGUAUUGUGGAUAUAAUAUGGAUAUUCACAAUUUAUGGGGUCAAACAUAAAUAUAGAAAAGUUGAGAGACCAAAAGUGCAAAUCCUUAGAGGUGGAAAGUCCAAAAUGUGAAAUAAAUUGGUAUAUGAGGACUAAGUGGAAUAAGUGGAGAAAUGAAAGAGACUAAGUUAUAGUUUUGCCAAAAGUGAAAAUUGGUCAAUAGUGGAAUUGUAAAGAAUUAGAGAGUCAAAAUGGUUAUUUCUCAAUUAAAAUGACUAUCAUGUAUUAUCAUGAUAAUAUUUAGUGAAUAUUUAUUGUUGAGAUAUUAUUGGUUGAAAUAUUAUUUUAUUAUAAGAUAUUUUGUUAUUAAUUAAUGGUUAAAUAAAAAGGAAAAGAUGAAAAUACAUUAUCAUCAUCUUCUCCAUCAUUCACACCACCACCAUGAAAGAGAGAAGAAGUUUUGAAAGUUAUCCAAUUUAGUUCUUUCCAUCAAAAUUCACCAUUUCCACCAAAAAAUUCAAAUAAAUUUCCAUAGCUAAGAAAACAGAAGUUUGAGGAUAGAGAAAAUUAAGUUAUGAUCUAAAAUCAAGAAAACAAGAUAAGAGCCUUAAGAUUUUAUCAUUUUUUUUUUAGCUUAAUCUUGUUAGAGUUUUCUUAUAUAAAGUAUUAUGUUUUUAACAUGUUCAUGAAGGGAAAAGAGAGAGAAAGUGAUAAAGAUGAGAAAGAAAGUGAAAGGAAACAAAAGAAGUGAGAUUUAGUAAGAAAAAGCUAAAUACCCUUGAAUUCUAUUUGUUACCUAAGGAUUAGAUUGUAAAGAAUGCUAAGUUUAUUCAUGAUAAUUACAUGAAAUUGUUAAGUACAUGUAAAUGUAUGUUUCGACAUCUUUCUUACGAAAAGAGGUAUGUAAUGGAAGUCAUAAAAGAGAGUAAAUGUUAAAGGUUUUACUAAACGGUUUUCUGGAUAACAACUUGUUCGAACUUUGAAAAUUCACCAAAAAUUAUAGAAAUUUAGCUAGAGGUUAAACCAAACAUGAAACUUAAGACUAUUCAGUUUAUUUUUGUAUAGAAGAAAUGGUGUAAGUAAUAGAAUUGUGGAGUAUGAGAUAAGUAAGAUCAAAGUGAUUUCAGGUUCUCCUAUUCUGAAUUUGAAAAAUUAUUAAAAAUUAUACAAAAAUAAUUAGAAGAUGAAGUUUAUAUGUAUAAAAAUCUUAAUGAGUCUAAUUUCAAUAGGAAGAAACCAAAACAUUAUACAAAUUUUGUACUGAAAAUAAAUAAUUUUUAGUAGAAAAUGGUCAGAGUUGCCUAGUAGCAGAAAAGUUGAAGAUUUGAAAAAUAAAAUUGUAUUAAUUGGUUUGAUUUAAAAUUUUUGUCAUAAUUUUUAUAUUAAGGACGAGAUGUCUAGUUUCAAAAAUUUUCAAUGGAACUUGAUUAUCAAUUCCAAUGAAUGAGAUAUAAAUAAAAAUGUGACUGUUGCGCAGCAGAUUGCACUGUUUUAAGUCGUUAAAUUUUAAAACUUAUAGACUAAAUUUAUAAAUGAAGUAAAAGUAGGUUAAAAUAUGAAAGUCAUAAAAUAAAUACUAGUGUGAAUAGUUUGACUUGGAGAAAAGAAUUUAAAAAGAAAAGUAAAAGUCUUAGAAAUAUUCUUACACUGAUGUUGAGUAGGAGUGUGCAAAUUUCGAGUAAAAUUGAUUUAGCCGACCAAACUGAAUUAAUUCAGUUAAUCGGUCUGUUAACUGAAUUAAUUUAGUCGGGAGUCAGUUAAUAAUUUUUUGGAAGUUCGGUUAACGGUUAAUUCGGUUCGAAAUUGGUUAAUUAACCGAAUUAACCGAAAAUUUAUAUUUUAUAUACAUUUUACAUAUAUUAAAUUCAGUUAAUUCGGUCAAUUUUUUAUAUGUUUUAUACUUGUUUUAAACCCAAAAGCAAAAAAAACAUAUAAAUUUCGGUUAAUCGAUCGAAUUAACCGAAAAAGUUCGGUUCGGUUAAUUUCUUUUUAAAAAAUUUCAGUUUGGUUAACAAUUAAGGAUUUAAAAAGUUUGGUUAAUUCGGUUAAUGCUAGUUCGAGUCGGUUAACCGAUUGAACACCCCUAAUAUUGAGUAUUUAUUUGUGAAGGAAAAUAUAAUAUUUGAUUUUAAUCUAUUAUUAAAUAAAUUUUGUAUAUAUAUAUAUGCGUGUGUAUGUGCGCGCGCGCGCGCCCAAAUUUUAAGUUAAAAGUUUAGAUGAAGAAGAUAGAACGUAAUAUAAAAAAGAAAAAAAGAAUAACGGAAUUUUUUCUAGAAAAUUUUUGGACUCAAACGUUCAGGAUUUUGGGGGUCUUUUUAAUGAUUUAAUUAUUAUUUUUAUUUUGGUUAAUAAAAAGUAUUGAGCAAAUUAAUUUUUAGUCCUUUAGAAUUGGUAGACUAUACAAAUGUGAUGGCAAAUUGUGCCACGUGAAACAAAGGCGAAAAGAAUUAGAUUAUUAUUUAAGAAGAUCAAAAUUGAAUAAUUUAUUUGGAGAAGAUAAAAGUAUAAUUUUGUUAUCAUAUUUAUUUUUAAUUUGAUAAAAAAGAAUUAUUAUGUUGGUGGCCAAAAUCACUACUUAUAAUGGACUCACAUGUCUACAAGUCAAAUUUUAACACCAUUAGCUUGAGUUGUCACAGGAUAAAUAAUGUUAAAUUCAAAUACUAAAUUUGAUUAUUUAAAAAUUUAAGUAACAUACUAAAAGACCAAAUAUCUCAUUAUUCCAAAGUAAAACAUAUAAUCAAGCAAGACAUGAUGUAAAAUUCAAUGGAAAAGAAGAGAAAAUGAUCAUAUAAUCACUCUAGCCAUCCCUGUCUUCAAGCUUGACUUGAACUAUCAUGGUGGAAACAAAAUAAAGAACUCCAAGUUUGUUUUUACAGAGUAAAUUUUCUCCUUUUUUUCCUUUUUCUUUUAACCACGUGGUCAGCAUGCAGCGUAGUUCACCAUCAUGUAAAAGCCAUUGGAUUGUUUUCUGUGUCUUGCCACGUUGGGAGCAUGCACUAAUCCACAUUCCAUAUGUAGUCUAAGAAUCCCUGUAAUCUUUCGUCUCUCGGAUCACAUUGUGCAAGCAAAAGAAAAAAAAGAUGGGAAAAUCAGGCUACUCAAAGCUUCACAUCGCCAUGUUUCCCUGGGUUGCAUAUGGUCAUUUCAUCCCCUUCCUUCAUCUCUCAAAUAAGUUGGCUCAUAAAGGCCAUCAAAUUUCCUUCAUUUUGCCUAAAGGAGUGCAACCAAAGCUGGAAAACAUGAACCAAUACCCCAACUUGAUUCAAUUCGUCCCUCUAGUUAUACCUCAUGUCGAUGGCCUCCCUCCAGGUGCUGAAACUACAUCUGUUGUUCCUCUGAACCAACAAAAAUACCUUGCUUUUUCUGUAGAUCAAACCAGGGACCAAGUUGAAGGCAUCCUAGGGGCUUUAAAACCUGAUAUGGUUUUUUAUGAUUUCUGGUUUUGGAUCCCAGACUUGGCUCGCCA
rnacentral:lncRNA from 1 species